CCUGCUUCAGUUUUGAAAAUAUUGCAUUAAAAAAAAGUUCGAGAUAGACAAGAUCUUGAAUUGUAAUUUACCAUAGUUUAAUUUUUUUCUUUAACUUUCAAGUUUCAACCUUUCAGUGUCUCACCAUCUCACGCACGCAUCUUCUGGCUUUCUGUAAACCUCUUCAUCUUUCGGCUUUCGGAAAACCUCAUCACUCAGUGUCUCUCAGCAUCCGGUCGACUCCUUCUACCUUUCAAGAUCGAGCACUUCCUCUGUUCCACUCCGGUCACGAAUCAUCUCUGAUUUUGGUUCUGGGGCACUUCUAUUUGUCUAGCAUUUGCUUUUGAAGGCGACGAGUUCAGCAACAAGGACAUAUAAGUAUAUUAUCAAUUUCUAUCAGAAAGAAUGGAUGUAGAUGUUGAUCACUAUAAAGUACUGGGGUUACCUUCUGGUGAGGAAGGGGCUAAACUCAGUGAAAAAGAGAUAUCAAAAGCAUAUAAAUUGAAGGCUUUAGAACUACACCCGGAUAAACGGCCUGAUGACCCAGAUGCCCAUGCCAAUUUCCAAAAGCUUAAGUCAUCUUAUGAGAUUUUGAAGGACGAAAAGGCAAGGAAAUUGUUUGAUGAUCUUCUGAAAAUCAAACGUGAGAAGGAAAAACGACUGGUGCAGCAGGAUGGGAGAAAGAGAAAGAUGAGGUCUGAUCUUGAGGAGAGGGAAAGGGCUGCUUUUGCUCCUGACCCAACUGUGAAAGCUCGACAGGAAGAGGAGAGGAUUGCCAGGGAGCUUAAGGAAGAGAUUGCAAGAAUUAAGCUUGCACUAGCAAGUAAAGGAGCUCCUGCAGCAUCCGCUUCGGUUAAAGAGACUAAAACAAGUAGAAGUGGUGCUGCAGUUGCUGGGGUAGGUUUGGACAAGGAAAAGAUGCUUAAGGUUUCAUGGGAGAAGGGGGGAGAGGAUUAUAGUGCAGAGAGGUUGAAAGAAAUAUUUGCAGAGUUUGGACAGGUAGAAGAUGUUGUUAUUAAGAGCUCCAAGAAGAAAGGUUCUGCGCUAGUUGUAAUGUCAACUAAAGAUGCAGUGGUUGCCGCUACAGGAAGUGUUUGUGGAAGUCUUUCAAACCCUUUGCUGGUUUUGCCUGUUCAACCUGCUGUAGCAACUGAAUUUACAAGUUCACAGAGUUGUGCAGAGAGUGAUGGCCUGGAUAAUUUGGUUGGAGCCGGCUAUCAAGCAUAUGAAGACUCUGUAUUGCAAAAACUCCAAAUGGCUGCAAAAAGACAAAAGUGACAAGUCAAAAUGAGAAGGAAGAGAAUCUUGAAUGGAUCAUGUCUCGGAUCAUUUGUAACUCUUAGUGAAGGACCCUUCAUCUCAUCGUCUUUCAGAGAUUGCAGCAUAUUUGAAGAGCGAUUAUCUUAAUCUGAUGAGACUUUGGUUUAGUUGUACAUUGAACUGGAUACGAGUGUAGAAACUUGUCAUUGGCAGCCAGUUUCAGAUUUCUACUAUAAACAUUACAAGAAUUUAGACGAAGUUGGAACAAGCUGUGUUUAGCAAUUGUUGCAAAUUUGGGGGGAAAUGGGAGCUAGAACAUAAUGCAGCUUGCUGCCUGUUUAAGCAAGUGAUAAAUUUCUCUUGGCUGUACUUUUAUUGUAAAAGAAACUGGUUCUUUCUGCAUUUAUAUGAUGAUAUAUUUAUAUACC